rnacentral:rRNA from 1 species
AGCAGCCGCGGUAAUUCCAGCUCCAAUAGCGUAUAUUAAAGUUGUUGCAGUUAAAAAGCUCGUAGUUGAAUUUCGGGGUUAGUAGGUUGGUCAUGCCUCUGGUAUGUACUGAUCUCACUGAUUCCUCCUUCCUUAUGAACCGUAAUGCCAUUAAUUUGGUGUUGCGGGGAAUUUGGACUGUUACUUUGAAAAAAUUAGAGUGUUUAAAGCAAGCUAACGCUUGAAUACAUUAGCAUGGAAUAAUGAAAUAGGACGUUCGAUCUUAUUUUGUUGGUUUCUAGGAUUGACGUAAUGAUUAAUAGGGAUAGUUGGGGGCAUUAGUAUUCAAUUGUCAGAGGUGAAAUUCUUGGAUUUAUUGAAGACUAACUACUGCGAAAGCAUUUGCCAAGGAUGUUUUCAUUAAUCAAGAACGAAAGUUAGGGGGAUCGAAGACGAUCAGAUACCGUCGUA